UCAAAACUCAUUUUACUAACAAGCCAGCUGAUGAAAAAGAAGUCACCUUCUCAACAAGCAAUCACAGAGUUCACCAUUUUCCAUUUCAAUGGUUCAAGAUCAAAAUUCACCCGCUCUUUUUCCAAAUUUUUUUGGGGAAAUUCAAAAGCAUCAUAAUUGACACUGAAAAACUCUUGUAACCUUAUUGCAGAAAGGGCAAGCUUCGUAUUGAUA
rnacentral:misc_RNA from 1 species